rnacentral:rRNA from 1 species
UACGUAGGGGGCUAGCGUUGUCCGGAAUCAUUGGGCGUAAAGAGCGUGUAGGCGGCCCGGUAAGUCCGCUGUAAAAGUCAAAGGCUCAACCUUUGAAUGUCAGUGGAUACUGCCGGGCUGGAGUCCGGAAGAGGCGAGUGGAACUCCUGGUGUAGCGGUGGAAUGCGCAGAUAUCAGGAAGAACACCAACGGCGAAGGCAGCUCGCUAGGACGGUACUGACACUGAGGCACGAAGGCCAGGGGAGCAAACGGG